rnacentral:rRNA from 1 species
CAAGUCAGAUGUGAAAUCAUGGGGCUCAACCCUGUGGCUGUAUCUGAAACUGUAGAGCUUGAGUGUAUGAGGGGUACCCGGAAUUCCUAGUGUAGGAGUGAAAUCCGUAGAUAUUAGGAGGAACACCAAUGGCGUAGGCAGGGUACUGGCAUAUUACUGACACUGAGGCACGAAAGCGUGGGAGCGAACGGGAUUAGAUACCCGGUAGUCCACGCCGUAAACGAUGGAUGCUA